rnacentral:lncRNA from 1 species
AGUAAACCAACCUAUUUUCUAUUUUUGAGUAAGCUUAUAUUACUUUAAAUUGUUGAACCCCUAUUUAAAGUGUACCUUUAAACUAUGUUUCUAUUAAGAUCACCUCUCUGGUAUAUGCUACUGGUGAAACAAAGAGAUGGGAACAAAAAGACCCCUAUGCUAUAGGCCUUGUUUAUGUCUUAAACCCAGACCACUUCCUUUAUUCGUAGAGUACAUAAAUAAUGAAUGACCAGUGGAUACACUUACUGGUACCCCUUUGUCUUGGGAAUAGGGAAUAGUGGGGUUGUUUGCCUGGUUUGGAAGAAAGAUUGGCUUUCUCGUUGAGAGCAAGUUUAGACUUCAAGGCAGAUAGACGUGUGAUGUAACUUCCCCCAGAAGUUACUAUGUCGCAGCUUUUUAAGACCUGCCUUGAUUUUGUUUCUUAACAGUUUCACCAUGGUUCCACCAUGGUUCCACUUCCAUUUCCCUCGGGACAAGAGUUGGGACUGCUGUCGUUGUUCAGGCAACGCUCUCCGCCUGAUCGAUGUAUUUAGUGCUUAUUGACGAACGACUCGUGUUUUAUCAUUGGUGCUUUAUAUGAACAUCUAUACUUUUCUUCUAUUCCUUGAUAUGUUUUCUAAUGUAUACUGUAGUUUACUUUGCUCCUUUUCUAUCAUGUAUUGUAUACCUGUACAACAUAUUGUAAAGCUUUGCAUGUACCUGUUUUUGUAAGAAUUGUUUGUUUGAAAUCAAGAUGCCAGUUGUCACACUGGGAAUUUAUUAUCGGUGUACCUUCGACACUGAAUAUUAAUAAAUACCUCUUUGGAAUCUUUGGCACAAAA